UUUGUGCCCAGCCAGACUGCAGCACCCUGUUAGUUCUGUUUCUCUGGGGAACCCAUUCAUUUUCAACCUCUACCUCUGAUCUUUCCUAAACACUCAGCACCUUCCUUAUUGAACAUUUCUUUAUCUGAAUUCCAGGACAGUAUGCUUUCUGAGAUUUCAACUUAACUUAUUGGCCUCCUCAGUUUACCUCAUGGACUUUAAAAUGUGAUACUGAGUUCCUCUUGACCUGGUCAGUCCUAGACACUUUGUUCUUCUCUCUUCACUCUUCCCCUGGGCAAUCUCAGUCCCUCCAAGGUCGAUGACACCCAAUGCUUCAUCUCAGUUUAAGCCCUCAAUUCUAAAUUAAUCUGUACGUGCAAACUGCUUAGUCACUUUCGGUUGUGGCUGACUCAUUGGCAUCUGAAACUUAGCACAUCCAAAACAAAACUCCCGAUCUCCACCAUCCACUCCUUACAAACCUGCCUUCCCUCUGCUUGCUUUAUCCUGGAAGCUGAUACCACCAACCCAAGCAGCUGCUCAAGGCACAAUCCUGGGACAUGUCCUGAACACUGUCCUCCUCCUCUAGUGCACGUGUUAGUUUGACAGCACUUGAGUCUGCCUCCGUGGUGAACCUUAGCUCUGUCCCCCUUUCUAACCUCCACAGAUCUCUCAGUCAAAACUCCAGUUGUGCCUCAAGCACCACCUAGAGCUUUUCCAUGUGUGAUCAUCCCACAUCAUCCCCUCUGCUGUCCCGACUCCUCCCUCACGCUGUGUAUUUUCAUAGGACUUUGAUGUAGUCUAACAGGAUUUCACUUGAUGCUUUGACUAUAUCCCUUGUGGUUUUGAAAGCUGUUAGGGUCCAUAAACAAGUCAAGAUGGCGCCUGGCACUUUGCCAAGAGGAGUGGUUUGGGAAGUAACACCAGCGAGCCAUUAAGAUGGUAGAGAUUCCUUAAUGACUGACUGCUGUGUCUAGAUUAUGUCAAUUAAGUUAAGCUGUGUGUAAUCAUUAAGAUGAUGAUUCCUUAUUGGUUGACUGCUGUAUCUAGUUUAUGUUAAUUAAGUUAAGCUGUGUAUUCAGUUAUGUAUAUAUACCUCUCUGUCCCAUAAUAAAGUGGCUCCCACUCCUGCUGUAUCAAUCCUCACAAGUUGCUCGUCACCCCCCCACACACCCCCACCCCCUGUUAGUUUGCCCAGCCAGACUACGGCAGAAAGUUACAUGUUUUUUUCCCCAAAAAACUUGUUCUUCCUGACUUUCUCCUCCCUGAUCUUUUCCCAACCUUCUCCUUCCUGAUCUUCUCCACCCUGAUCUUCUUCUUCUGAAAUAUCCACAGAUCCCAAACCCGGAAUGAACCACACGAGACACUGGCUGCAAAAAGCAGGAGGCGUUUAUUCUCACACAGGCGCCUGCGGGUGCACAGCAAAACCUCAGCCGGAGCUUCGGUGAACUGGCACACCGGGCUUUGGGGUAUAGAUCUUUUAUAGGGAACAGGUGGGUUAGGUCUUAGCUUAGCACAGCAACAGCCUUCCUAUUGGUCCCUCUGAAUUCAGCAGUUGAGUCACCUAGGGGGGUAAACUUGUUUUCCCACUUUAGUUCUCAGAAAAACCAUAAAAUUGCAUCCUGUCCUUUUAGUUCCUGUUUUUACCCUGUUUGCUCAAGUUUGGCCCUUCCGGGGUUAUCUAUAUGGAACAUCUUGUGGUAACAUUGUGCGAGACUUGAAGUGCUACGUGCAGCUGGUGGGGUUUUGACAUGGGGGUUGGGUAAGGGAACAUCUUGCAGCUUCAGGGCACAGGGGUUAGUUUUCCUAAUGUUGGGCCUGGGGCCUUGGGGUCCUUCACUUCCGCUCCCUAAUCUCAUUUUCUCUGAAUCACUUCUUUAAAAAAAAAAACAACUCUGUUCCUGCAGAUGGGCAGAAUCACAGAACUUGGGACAGGAGUCCCCUGUGUUUCUUCUUUGCUAGCAAAGCAAC
rnacentral:lncRNA from 1 species